UUACUUCUCACUCCACACCCAUAAGUGCAUCACAGAAGGCAUUGACAUAAACUUUCACUUAAAGGUGUUUUCUGAUGCUCUCUACAGCCUCAGGUAGAAAAGUCCUAGGAAGUCGAUUUUGGCUGAGGAGACUGCUAUCCCUGGAGGUACCUGAAUCAGCCAGUGCCAGUUAAGCAGGAAACCCAUCAUAAAUCUACUGGCCCUCCAAGACUUCCUGCUGAGUACAGGGUCUUUUGCUCCCCUGUCAAGGUUCACAGCCCUGUGAUAUGGAGCAUAUAUGGAUGGUUUUGGAGCAGGCCAGGUGGCUACACAUUACCUUGAACAACUAAUUUCAAAUUCUCUGGAUCAUCUCACAUCCAGGAACUUCACUUUAAAGAGGUUUGCCUGGGGUUUUUUUCACACGAUCACAGUAUUCUUGAGGCUGGAAUGGACGUCUGGAGAUCAUCUAGUCCUCCUGUAGCAUUAUGCAACAGCUGUGUGAAAAAAAAUGAAACAGUUAAAACAAUCAAUCAUAUUUUUCUUGAAAUAAUUUAUCUUCAGG
rnacentral:lncRNA from 1 species